rnacentral:rRNA from 1 species
UACCAGCACCCCGAGUGGUCGGGACGAUUAUUGGGCCUAAAGCAUCCGUAGCCGGUCCUGCAAGUCCUCCGUUAAAUCCACCCGCUCAACGGUUGGGCCGCGGGGGAUACUACAGGGCUAGGAGGCGGGAGAGGCAAGCGGUACUCGAUGGGUAGGGGUAAAAUCCACUGAUCCAUUGAAGACCACCAGUGGCGAAGGCGGCUUGCCAGAACGCGCUCGACGGUGAGGGAUGAAAGCUGGGGGAGCAAACCGGAUUAGAAACCCUUGUAGUCC